rnacentral:rRNA from 1 species
CAGUCGCCGCGGUAAUACGUAGGUGGCAAGCGUUGUCCGGAAUUAUUGGGCGUAAAGGGCUCGCAGGCGGUUUCUUAAGUCUGAUGUGAAAGCCCCCGGCUCAACCGGGGAGGGUCAUUGGAAACUGGGAAACUUGAGUGCAGAAGAGGAGAGUGGAAUUCCACGUGUGGCGGUGAAAUGCGUAGAGAUGUGGAGGAACACCAGUGGCGAAGGCGACUCUCUGGUCUGUAACUGACGCUGAGGAGCGAAAGCGUGGGGAGCGAACAGGAUUAGAUACCCCCGUAGUCCCUGUCUCUUAUAC